UACGUAGGGUGCAAGCGUUAAUCGGAAUUACUGGGCGUAAAGCGUGCGCAGGCGGUUAUGUAAGACAGUUGUGAAAUCCCCGGGCUCAACCUGGGAAUUGCAUCUGUGACUGCAUAGCUAGAGUACGGUAGAGGGGAUGGAAUUCCGCGUGUAGCAGUGAAAAUGCGUAGAUAUGCGGGAGGAACACCGAUGGCGAAGGCAAUCCCCCUGGACCUGUACUGACGCUCAUGCA
rnacentral:rRNA from 1 species